rnacentral:lncRNA from 1 species
AUCUGCAGCUAAUCAAAAGAACGAGUGAUAAUUUUUUCAAGUUAUACACAACUAUUUGCAACACAAGGAAACUCUUAGAAGAACGAGACUUGCAUUGACAAUUCAUGAAUAUUUGCUCAGUACCAACCUAUAAAUGUCGCCUUCGUUGAUUAAAAAUUAAAAAAUGAGAAGAUGUUUCGAGAUCUAAGAAAAAUUACCAUCAUUCUGACAGACUGCAGUAAACAUGGUCGUGAAGGUCACGAACGGUUACUCGAGAGAAUUAGCAACAUUCGAAUGCUUUUGUCUUUCACAAGGAAGCAAACUAAAUGUGCGCACUGGGCAUAAUGCUUUAUGAACCGUGCCGAUGGAUCCGUGAUUCCCUUGACCCAGCGUGGCAUCCAAUAGUACGGAAUGAAACUUUCGGCGUAUCCACCAAAAUGCUGCUCAAAAACUCGCCUGGAAAUCAUGAGGAUAGUGAACACGUCAACGGGGAAAAAUCGUCUGAAACUGCAAUUUAACAACGUUCACAAAAUACCUGUAAUAAUAAGCUUCCUUCGUUUUUGGUGUACAAUGCGGAAACGUAACUGGAGCCUUCUCCAGGUCAGAGUCUUGAACUCUUUCUUCAACGAUUUCUUGAAUGAUUUGGAACAAAGAUUUUUUUAUUGACGCUACACCAUCGCUGAAGGCUUCCUUGUGUCGCCAUAAAAUGUUUUGUGGCAGUAAAUUUAUUCCGUCGAACGAUGACCUCAGCAAAUGCUUCUCCACUCCGUCUUUGGAUAAAUAAACAAAAUGAAUAAUGGAA